UGCCUAUGUAAUUCAAAUAAAGCCACAAUACAGCCACAUUCCAUGGAUGUCACUAACGGCUGGAGAGCACCUGGGUAUUUACUAUGCCCUGAUACAAGUGCUUUGAGUUUUUGUUUGUUUUUUAUACUGGGAAUGGAACCUAGGGUCAUAUAAGGCUCUGCCAGUCUCUCACAACCGAGCCACACUUCAGCCCUCCAGGUCUAUUUGGAGGCAUGAGGAUCAGUAGUUCACGACGGUCAUUCUAGGCUACAAACUGCAGUCUGGGCUUAUCUCGAAGAACAGUAAGAAAUGAGUAAGCAGAGCAGUGAUCCCAAUGUCUCCCAAGACGACCCAGCGAGGAACUCACAAACCUUUACAAAGGAACACUUCUGGGAAAAGAGUGACAUAGAUUAUGGGAAGACAGUACACUCAGAACACAGGCUGCCCUGAGGUGGUAGAUGUGCUGAGAACGCCCUGAAGGAGCCGGGGCUGGCUCUAAACAGACAACAGGGCAGCAAUGAUGAGAGCCCAGGCUGAUUCCAAGAAGACCCUGGUCUGCGAAAGUGGCCUCUCUGAACCCUUGAAAGAGAGAAGAGGUUCCAGGGCGGUCGUCUAGGUUGGAUUCUUUCUCAUUGUAGCUAAUAAAUCAAACAGAAAUUGGGAAAAAACCAAAACAGAACAGAAAGUAACCGAAUCUCUCGUUGUCAGAUGCCCUGCCUGGACUUCUCCUACAUGCACGAUGUGCUUAGGCAGGAUCCUGGCACUCAGAGUCCUUUCCUGAUGAAAUGUUCACAGUCAGUCUUGGGAAGUGCCUGCACGCUCAAUCUCCAAAACUCACUGGACCAGCACGGUGGCACACACCUUAGUCUCAACACUUGGAAGGAAGAGGUGAAGCUGAUCCUGAGUGCGACAAAGUCACUCUGUCUACCCCAGCAGUAGGAAGCAAGGUCACAGCGCUUUUGGCUCUCGGGACAUGAGUAUGGAGAAAUGGCUGCGGAGAAGGGAUCAGAAAGAAACUAAAAAAGACAGAGGCCAUGUCUCAAAGACAAAACUGGCAAGAUGGUUCAUCAUACAAAGUUGCUUGUUCCCAAGCUUGACAUCUGGGUUCAAUCCUCAAACUAACAUAAUGGAAGAACUGGCCUGACAGUUGCCCUGAGUCUCACCUGUGUGCCACUGACCAAAGUGCACACACAAGCAAAUAAAUGUAGAAAACCAAAACAAAGGGAAGAAAUAAAAACAGAGUUCGUAACUGGAAAACUCGGCAGGGGGAAUGAGACGACCUCCUUGUCCCUG